GACCUGAGAUGAAGCGAGGCAACCCCGGAAAUUUAAGCAUAUUAUUACGGGGAGGAAAAGAAACUAACAAGGAUUCCCCUAGUAACGGCGAGUGAAGCGGGAAGAGCUCAAUCUUAAAAUCGGUGUUCCAGGCGGGAUUCCGAGUUGUAGUCUCGAGACGUUCUGUCUGCGGUGACGUUGGUACAAGUCUCUUGGAAGAGGGCAUCAGAGAGGGUGACAAUCCCGUCGCUGACCAACAGUUCGCCGCUUUCGACGAGCGUUCGCAGAGUCGGAUUGCUUGGGAGUGCAGUCCUAAUUGGGUGGUAAAUUUCAUCUAAAGCUAAAUAUCGACGAGAGACCGAUAGCGAACAAGUACCGUGAGGGAAAGAUGAAAAGAACUUUGAAAAGAGAGUCAAAAAGUACUUGAACUUGUUAAGAGGGAAGAGUUGAAAACUAG
rnacentral:rRNA from 1 species